GGCUCAGGAUGAACGCUGGCGGCGUGCUUAACACAUGCAAGUCGAACGAUGAUGCCCAGCUUGCUGGGUGGAUUAGUGGCGAACGGGUGAGUAACACGUGAGCAACCUGCCCCCGACUCUGGGAUAAGCCCGGGAAACUGGGUCUAAUACCGGAUACGACCAUUGGCCGCAUGGCCUGGUGGUGGAAAGACUUUGUCGGUUGGGGAUGGGCUCGCGGCCUAUCAGCUUGUUGGUGGGGUGAUGGCCCACCAAGGCGACGACGGGUAGCCGGCCUGAGAGGGUGACCGGCCACACUGGGACUGAGACACGGCCCAGACUCCUACGGGAGGCAGCAGUGGGGAAUAUUGCACAAUGGGCGCAAGCCUGAUGCAGCGACGCCGCGUGGGGGAUGACGGCCUUCGGGUUGUAAACCCCUUUCAGUAGGGAAGAAGC
rnacentral:rRNA from 1 species